GGUAAUAAGUCUACUGUGUUUCAUGCGUCUCUUUUAUACUUUCAUCGUCCAUAUAAAGAUUUCAUUCAUGAUCAUAUCUACUGGGGAUGACCACAUAUGAAAAGGAAACCAUGAUUAGUUUUAAUUUCAAGAGCUAAAGAUGCUAUUUUGGCAGAUGACAUUGAAGUUAUCCGUUAUCUUCUUUCACUAGAGAUAAUUCCAAGUUGCUUGCGCUCGAUGGACAUUGGAUGUGAACUAUCCAAAACAGUUGCGACUUUCAUUCUACAAAAAUUCCUUCUAGAUGAUGUGGGUUUGGAUUACAUCUGUACCUCAGCGGUAUAGUUUUUUGAUGUAGCCCAAGCUUUAGGGAAUAUGGUUGUUGAACUUGUCGAACAACCUUCAUCUAGAUUGCUAAAAUACAUAAUUAGGUGCUAUCUUCAUCUAUCAGAUAAUCAACGGUUAGUUUUCUCUUUAUCACCAUCCUGGUUUUCCUCUCAGCGCGCUUAUGUGUGGUAUAUCACAAUCCUCUUUGGGCUUUCUCAUUUCUUUGAGGCUAAAAGGCUAUGUGCUUGGCUAAUGGCAGGGCUUGUGAUGCACUGAUAACUUGUCUUCCCGAUAUGCUUAGAGAUAACACCUUCAGCAGUUGUCUUCGUGAGGAUCCGGUGACGAGGAUGUGGCUGCAAGAACUGCUUUAAGGAUUUUGGUUUCCCAUCCGUUGUCCGGUAUCUGGAUUGGAGCUCGACAAAUUUGGAUUUGCACCGGAUAGGGCCCCGUUUGGGGAUAAUGCUCCCUACCAAGGAUUUUUCCAUAUUCAGAACUCGAACUCGAGACCUUUGGUUAAGGGAGGAGCAGUCCUAUCCACUGCAUCACAUCUUUUGGUGAUAUAACCUUCUAGUAUUUACGGCGUGAUUUAGUUAUCAAUGAGAUGGACAAAUAAUAACAUUUUGUGUUUAAAUUUUAGUGAAGGCAA